rnacentral:rRNA from 1 species
AUUGAACGCUGGCGGCAUGCUCUACACAUGCAAGUCGAACGGUAACAGGUUAAGCUGACGAGUGGCGAACGGGUGAGUAAUGCAUCGGAACGUGCCCGAUCGUGGGGGAUAACGCAGCGAAAGCUGCGCUAAUACCGCAUACGAUCUGAGGAUGAAAGCGGGGGACCGUAAGGCCUCGCGCGAUCGGAGCGGCCGAUGUCAGAUUAGGUAGUUGGUGGGGUAAAGGCCCACCAAGCCGACGAUCUGUAGCUGGUCUGAGAGGACGACCAGCCAAACUGGGACUGGGACACGGCGCAGACUCCUACGGGAGGCAGCAGUGGGGAAUUUUGGACGAUGGGCGAAAGCCUGAUCCAGCAAUGCCGCGUGCAGGAAGAAGGCCUUCGGGUUGUAAACUGCUUUUGUACGGAGCGAAAAGGUCCUUUCUAAUACAAGGGGCUUAUGACGGUACCGUAAGAAUAAGCACCGGCUAACUACGUGCCAGCCGCCGCCGUAACAC